GACGAACGCUGGCGGCGUGCCUAAUACAUGCAAGUAGAACGCACAGUUUAUACCGUAGCUUGCUACACCAUAAACUGUGAGUUGCGAACGGGUGAGUAACGCGUAGGUAACCUGCCUGGUAGCGGGGGAUAACUAUUGAAACGAUAACCAAAAACGCAUAAAAUUGAAUAUUGCCAGAUAAAUUGUUGAAAGAUGAUAAUGGAUUACACACCGAAGGAACUGCGUUGUAUUAACUAGUAGGGGGAGGAAACGCUCACCUAGGCGACGAUACAUAGCCGGCCUGAGGAGGUGAUCGGCCACACUGGGACUGAGACACGGCCCAGACUCCUACGGGAGGCAGCAGUCGGGAAUCUUCGGCAAUGGACGAAAGUCUGACCGAGCAACGCCGCGUGAGUGAAGAAGGUUUUCGGAUCGUAAAGCUCUGUUGUAAGAGAAGAACGGGUGUGAGAGUGGAAAGUUCACACUGUGACGGUAUCUUACCAGAAAGGGACGGCUAACUACGUG
rnacentral:rRNA from 1 species